AUUGAACGCUGGCGGCAUGCUUUACACAUGCAAGUCGAACGGUAACAGGCCUUCUGGUGCUGACGAGUGGCGAACGGGUGAGUAAUGCAUCGGAACGUACCCAGAGGUGGGGGAUAACGCAGCGAAAGCUGUGCUAAUACCGCAUGUGAUCUGAGGAUGAAAGCGGGGGACCGAGCAGCAAUGUUUGGCCUCGCGCCUUUGGAGCGGCCGAUGUCGGAUUAGCUAGUUGGUGGGGUAAAGGCCUACCAAGGCGACGAUCCGUAGCUGGUCUGAGAGGACGACCAGCCACACUGGGACUGAGACACGGCCCAGACUCCUACGGGAGGCAGCAGUGGGGAAUUUUGGACAAUGGGCGCAAGCCUGAUCCAGCAAUGCCGCGUGCGGGAAGAAGGCCUUCGGGUUGUAAACCGCUUUUGGCAGGAACGAAACGGUGUCCGCUAAUACCGGGCGCUAAUGACGGUACCUGCAGAAUAAGCACCGGCUAACUACGUG
rnacentral:rRNA from 1 species